AAUCUGCGAAAAGCGUCGGUAAGGUGAUAUGAACCGUUACAGCCGGCGAUGUCCGAAUGGGGAAACCCAGUGUGAUUCGUCACACUAUCGUUAACUGAAUACAUAGGUUAACGAGGCGAACCGGGGGAACUGAAACAUCUAAGUACCCCGAGGAAAAGAAAUCAACCGAGAUUCCCCCAGUAGCGGCGAGCGAACGGGGAGCAGCCCAGAGUCUGAAUCAGCUUGUGUGUUAGUGGAACGGUCUGGAAAGUCCGACGGUACAGGGUGAUAGUCCCGUACACCAAAAUGCACAGGCUGUGAACUCGAAGAGUAGGGCGGGACACGUGGUAUCCUGUCUGAAUAUGGGGGGACCAUCCUCCAAGGCUAAAUACUCCUGACUGACCGAUAGUGAACCAGUACCGUGAGGGAAAGGCGAAAAGAACCCCGGCGAGGGGAGUGAAAAAGAACCUGAAACCGUGUACGUACAAGCAGUGGGAGCACCUUCGGGUGUGACUGCGUACCUUUUGUAUAAUGGGUCAGCGACUUAUAUUCUGUAGCAAGGUUAACCGUAUAGGGGAGCCGCAGGGAAACCGAGUCUUAACUGGGCGUUAAGUUGCAGGGUAUAGACCCGAAACCCGGUGAUCUAGCCAUGGGCAGGUUGAAGGUUGGGUAACACUAACUGGAGGACCGAACCGACUAAUGUUGAAAAAUUAGCGGAUGACUUGUGGCUGGGGGUGAAAGGCCAAUCAAACCGGGAGAUAGCUGGUUCUCCCCGAAAGCUAUUUAGGUAGCGCCUCGUGAACUCAUCUUCGGGGGUAGAGCACUGUUUCGGCUAGGGGGUCAUCCCGACUUACCAACCCGAUGCAAACUACGAAUACCGAAGAAUGUUAUCACGGGAGACACACGGCGGGUGCUAACGUCCGUCGUGAAGAGGGAAACAACCCAGACCGCCAGCUAAGGUCCCAAAGUCAUGGUUAAGUGGGAAACGAUGUGGGAAGGCACAGACAGCCAGGAUGUUGGCUUAGAAGCAGCCAUCAUUUAAAGAAAGCGUAAUAGCUCACUGGUCGAGUCGGCCUGCGCGGAAGAUGUAACGGGGCUAAACCAUGCACCGAAGCUGCGGCAGCGACACUAUGUGUUGUUGGGUAGGGGAGCGUUCUGUAAGCCUGCGAAGGUGUGCUGUGAGGCAUGCUGGAGGUAUCAGAAGUGCGAAUGCUGACAUAAGUAACGAUAAAGCGGGUGAAAAGCCCGCUCGCCGGAAGACCAAGGGUUCCUGUCCAACGUUAAUCGGGGCAGGGUGAGUCGACCCCUAAGGCGAGGCCGAAAGGCGUAGUCGAUGGGAAACAGGUUAAUAUUCCUGUACUUGGUGUUACUGCGAAGGGGGGACGGAGAAGGCUAUGUUAGCCGGGCGACGGUUGUCCCGGUUUAAGCAUGUAGGCUGGUUGUCCAGGCAAAUCCGGAUAAUCAAGGCUGAGGUGUGAUGACGAGGCACUACGGUGCUGAAGUAACAAAUGCCCUGCUUCCAGGAAAAGCCUCUAAGCAUCAGGUAACAUCAAAUCGUACCCCAAACCGACACAGGUGGUCAGGUAGAGAAUACCAAGGCGCUUGAGAGAACUCGGGUGAAGGAACUAGGCAAAAUGGUGCCGUAACUUCGGGAGAAGGCACGCUGGUGUGUAGGUGAAGUCCCUGCGGAUGGAGCUGAGACCAGUCGAAGAUACCAGCUGGCUGCAACUGUUUAUUAAAAACACAGCACUGUGCAAACACGAAAGUGGACGUAUACGGUGUGACGCCUGCCCGGUGCCGGAAGGUUAAUUGAUGGGGUUAUCCGUAAGGAGAAGCUCUUGAUCGAAGCCCCGGUAAACGGCGGCCGUAACUAUAACGGUCCUAAGGUAGCGAAAUUCCUUGUCGGGUAAGUUCCGACCUGCACGAAUGGCGUAAUGAUGGCCAGGCUGUCUCCACCCGAGACUCAGUGAAAUUGAACUCGCUGUGAAGAUGCAGUGUACCCGCGGCAAGACGGAAAGACCCCGUGAACCUUUACUAUAGCUUGACACUGAACAUUGAGCCUUGAUGUGUAGGAUAGGUGGGAGGCUUUGAAGCGUGGACGCCAGUCUGCGUGGAGCCAACCUUGAAAUACCACCCUUUAAUGUUUGAUGUUCUAACGUUGGCCCCUUACCGGGGUUGCGGACAGUGUCUGGUGGGUAGUUUGACUGGGGCGGUCUCCUCCCAAAGCGUAACGGAGGAGCACGAAGGUUAGCUAAUCCUGGUCGGACAUCAGGAGGUUAGUGCAAUGGCAUAAGCUAGCUUGACUGCGAGCGUGACGGCGCGAGCAGGUGCGAAAGCAGGUCAUAGUGAUCCGGUGGUUCUGAAUGGAAGGGCCAUCGCUCAACGGAUAAAAGGUACUCCGGGGAUAACAGGCUGAUACCGCCCAAGAGUUCAUAUCGACGGCGGUGUUUGGCACCUCGAUGUCGGCUCAUCACAUCCUGGGGCUGAAGUAGGUCCCAAGGGUAUGGCUGUUCGCCAUUUAAAGUGGUACGCGAGCUGGGUUUAGAACGUCGUGAGACAGUUCGGUCCCUAUCUGCCGUGGGCGCUGGAGAAUUGAGGGGGGCUGCUCCUAGUACGAGAGGACCGGAGUGGACGCAUCACUGGUGUUCGGGUUGUCAUGCCAAUGGCACUGCCCGGUAGCUAAAUGCGGAAGAGAUAAGUGCUGAAAGCAUCUAAGCACGAAACUUGCCCCGAGAUGAGUUCUCCCUGAGACUUUAAGUCUCCUGAAGGAACGUUAAAGACGAUGACGUUGAUAGGCCGGGUGUGUAAGCGCAGCGAUGCGUUGAGCUAACCGGUACUAAUGAACCGUGAGGCUUAACCUU
rnacentral:rRNA from 1 species